CCUAUGCACAGUAGGUGCUCAAUAGUUAUUUCUUAAAUACAAAUACCAUUAAAUAUUAAAAAAUCACAAUUUGAACCUGGUACUUUUAUUUCAUGUAAGUGCAUACUGAUUCAGAGCCAUAUUCCUACCUUUGAAGAUAUAUUUGUCAACAGCACGUGUACCUUAAAAUUUGCAGGUGCACUUAUAUGACCUUAAUCGCGGAGCCUGCUGUCCUCCCUGACCUAUCAAAGCUUUGAAAGUCAGAAGAGGAGCUGGACUUCUAUAGCUAAUCAACGGUUGGAUUGCUCAGAGAGUUUUCACAUUCUUCUUACUUUCCCCUGUUUGAUAUUUAUGAAUGUUUCCCUUAACUGUUCCCCAUCUAGCAUAAAUAAUGCACCCAAUCCAUUUCCAUGUGUUAUAUGCAAGCUUAAAGAAACAAUAAUGAAGGGACAUCACUAAACCAUACUUUAGAAACUAAUAAUGCAAACUUCUUAAAAAGGCUAAUUAUUUAAUAAAAAACACAUAAGCUACAAGAAACUGUAAAUAGGUUGGAAUGGCAUUGUCAAUACAAUAAAGCUUUAUAUUAUUAAGUUCAUAGACCAAGUUGUACAACAUUGACAUUUCAACAAACGCCUUUUAGGAUGCAAUCUCAAGCUGAAAUGGCAAACAGAAUCCACAGUAAAAUAUUUAUUGAAUUCUAUUUCAAAUACUUUUAAAAUUUAUAUUACAGAUUAUUUUUCCCAGAAGUAAUAUUUUAUAAUUAGGAAAAUGGUGAGGGGGCAAUGUAUAAUACAAAUAAGUAGAAGUUAUUAUUAUUAAUCUCUCUCUUGCUAAUGCCUUAGUACAGUGACUGAAAUUUAAAUACCAGACAAUCCUUUCUCAUAUCUUGGAGGUUUCUGUUAAAAUAAAAUUAUUUAAUGAAAUGAAAAUUAAUGAUAUACAUUUUAACCAUUGGUGUUUUAUCUCAAUUUAGACUAAUUUCUACCUUCAGCAAAAUGUCUACCAAAGUCAAGUAAUAGGGCCUGAUCUGAAGCCGCAAUGAGUCUUCAGAUGUCAAAUAUGCCCUGAAUGCUGUGAAUGCAGAAGAUGAAAUAAUUAAUAUCAACUGGGAGAGCCAAGGAGCAAUGGGGAGUUGUGAAAAUAUUUUGUCAUAUAAAUAACAUGAAAAUUCUAAACAAGACAGUGAUGCUAACGAUUAAUUGUCAGAGUCUUUUUAAGAUAAGAGUAUCAGUUUGGGAAUAUAAAGAAGUGUGUUGUUGUCAUAAAAGUGGUGACUAAGAAAGUAAAUUCCGUUACUGAAGAAUGCCCACCAAGAAUAAAGAAUUGGAUGCAAAGCAGUAAGAGUUCAUUUGUUUUUGUAAUUCUGUUAUUAUUAACCUAUUAUUUUUUCUUCUGAGCCCAAGCUUGAUACUGUAUCUGAAGCACUGGGAUGGUUUAGUAAUUUAAAAUGUAAAACUUAAUAGAAUAAUACUUUGCUGCAACCUUUAAUUAUAUUUUUACAUUGAGACUUGGUCGAUAUUUGUGUUUAUUUUCUUAACUUCAAACAUAAUUGACAAUCUUCACAAAUGUCACCUUUCUAAAGAAAGGGUCAACAUUUAGCAGUGCAUUACUAGAUUUUUCACACAUAUUCAUUAUUUUGUGGUCUUUAAGUAUUUAAUGUUGAAUAAGAAAUUCAAGCUUUACUUCUACAUGCCCACAUGUCGG
rnacentral:lncRNA from 1 species